rnacentral:rRNA from 1 species
UAAGGAGGGGGCAAGCGUUAUUCGGAAUCACUGGGUUUAAAGGGUGCGUAGGCUGCUGCAUAAGUCAGGGGUGAAAGUUUGUCGCUUAACGAUAGAACUGCCUUUGAUACUGUGCGGCUUGAAAUUAGGUGAGGUUGGCGGAAUGUGACAUGUAGCGGUGAAAUGCGUAGAUAUGUCAUAGAACACCGAUUGCGAAGGCAGCUGGCUAGCCUACAGUUGACGCUGAGGCGCGAAAGCGUGGGUAGCAAACAGG